rnacentral:lncRNA from 1 species
UGGAUUCCCAGCUGGCCUCAAACUCCCUAUGUAGUUAAGAGUGACCUUGAACUUCGGAUGCUCCUGCAGCUGCAGCUGCACCUGCCUACUAGGACUACAGGUGUGACAGUCAUGACCAACCUAUUGUGGUACUCGGAAUGGAACCUAGGGCCUCAUGGUGCUAGGGCCCCAGCUAACCAGACUGACUAAUGAGUCAUCUUCCCGUCAUCGUGAGAGCCACUGUGGUACACCAGCAUCUCCAAGACCGUUUAGGAAGCUGAUUCAAGGUGAAGCAGCAAUGGUAGAGGUCACAACUGAUCAGGUCAGUGGUAAGAAUUCUGAACCUUGAGGGAAGGAAUUCCAACAGGGAGUCACCAUCCCGCACCAUCCUGCCCAGCCAGGGCUGGCUACAUGAGGAAUAAGCUGCCUGGCUUAGGGGCCCAUCCUCAUCCACUUUCUCCCAUUCCUGUUCGGGCUACCCUGCCUCUGUGUGCCAGCUAGACUCAUGUCAACUUGGCACAAGCUAUAGUCAUCUAACAAGAGGGGACCUCGAUUGAGAAAAUACCUCCAUAAGAUCAAGCUGUGGGCAAGCCUGUAGAGUAUUCUUUUAAUUAGUGAUUGGUGGGGGAGAGACCAGUCCUGGGCUAGUGGUCCUGGGCUCUAUAAAUAAACAGCACAAGCAAGCCAUGAGGAGCAAGCCAG